AGUAGGAAUGGAAGGUGAUGUAGGCCUUGAUUGAGUUCAGGUGGCUUCGAAUGAACUGAGUGACAGCUUUCGUCUCUCUCUCGGACUCUGGCGCAGUGCCAUGAGGGCAGAUGGUGAGCUCCGCACUGAAGUUAAAUGAUGCCAAAUGCAGACAUAACAUGUCUGGAAUACUAAGACCAUAACAAAAAAAGACCGAAGUACUUCAAGUAUUAUGAAGCACAAAAUAAAUUAUAUUAAUUACAUGACAAAAAUAGCAUUUGAGGACGACAGAAACAAAUUGUUGAUACUCUUUGUAAUGCUGUCUGAUGGACGAGAAGUUUAUGAACCUCUUUAGCAAAUGGAUUUGCAAACAACAGCUGGGAGAGAAUAACUGC